CCUACGGGUGGCAGCAGUGAGGAAUAUUGGUCAAUGGGCGCGAGCCUGAACCAGCCAAGUCGCGUGAGGGAAGACGGUCCUAUGGAUUGUAAACCUCUUUUGUCGGGGAGCAAAAGACGCCACGCGUGGCGUUCCGAGAGUACCCGAAGAAAAAGCAUCGGCUAACCCCGUGCCAGCAGCCGCGGUAAUACGGAGGAUGCGAGCGUUAUCCGGAUUUAUUGGGGUUAAAGGGUGCGCAGGCGGACGAUCAAGUCAUCGGUAAAAUUGAGAGGCUCAACCUCUUCGAGCCGUUGAAACUGGUGUUCUUGAGUGAGCGAGCGGUAUGCGGAAUGCGUGGUGUAGCGGUGAAAUGCAUAGAUAUCACGCAGAACUCCGAUUGCGAAGGCAGCAUACCGGCGCUCAACUGACGCUCAUGCACGAAAGUGUGGGUAUCGAACAGGAUUAGAUACCCCAGUAGUC
rnacentral:rRNA from 1 species